CAUAUCAAUAAGCGGAGGAAAAGAAACCAACAGGGAUUGCCCUAGUAACGGCGAGUGAAGCGGCAACAGCUCAAAUUUGAAAUCUGGCGUCUUUGGCGUCCGAGUUGUAAUUUGCAGAGGGCGCUUUGGCAUUGGCAGCGGUCCAAGUUCCUUGGAACAGGACGUCACAGAGGGUGAGAAUCCCGUACGUGGUCGCUAGCCUUUACCGUGUAAAGCCCCUUCGACGAGUCGAGUUGUUUGGGAAUGCAGCUCUAAAUGGGAGGUAAAUUUCUUCUAAAGCUAAAUACUGGCCAGAGACCGAUAGCGCACAAGUAGAGUGAUCGAAAGAUGAAAAGCACUUUGGAAAGAGAGUUAAAAAGCACGUGAAAUUGUUGAAAGGGAAGCGCUUGCAGCCAGACUUGCCUGUAGUUGCUCAUCCGGGUUUCUACCCGGUGCACUCUUCUAUAGGCAGGCCAGCAUCAGUUUGGGCGGUUGGAUAAAGGUCUCUGUCAUGUACCUCCUUUCGGGGAGAACUUAUAGGGGAGACGACAUGCAACCAGCCUGGACUGAGGUCCGCGCAUCUGCUAGGAUGCUGGCGUAAUGGCUGUAAGCGGCCCGUCUUGAAACACGGACCAAGGAGUCUAACAUCUAUGCGAGUGUUUGGGUGUCAAGCCCGAGCGCGUAAUGAAAGUGAACGGAGGUGGGAACCUUUCGGGGUGCACCAUCGACCGAUCCUGAUGUCUUCGGAUGGAUUUGAGUAAGAGCAUAGCUGUUGGGACCCGAAAGAUGGUGAACUAUGCUUGAAUAGGGUGAAGCCAGAGGAAACUCUGGUGGAGGCUCGCAGCGGUUCUGACGUGCAAAUCGAUCGUCAAAUUUGGGCAUAGGGGCGAAAGACUAAUCGAACUAUCUAGUAGCUGGUUCCUGCCGA
rnacentral:rRNA from 1 species